AGCCAAGAAGCACGCUCUUCUUAAACCCUCACCAUUUACUCAAGCCGUCGACAAUCAUCGCACUAUGGAAACCCUCAUCGACGAACAAAAAUCCAAGAAGCACAUUGAUCAGUUUGGGCUCAAGUUCUCUUUGGCAAAACCCUCAUCACACUACCAAGCACUCUCGCGCACUACCCAGGAAGACUCUCGCGCACUACCCAAGAAGCACGUACAUCGAUCUUCUCAAACCCUCACCGAUCAUCACACUACCCAUGUUGUGAUGAUCGUUGCAUUAUCGAAACCCUCAUCGACGAACAUUGAUCAACUUGUGCUCAAGCCCUCUUUGACGAACGACCAAAGUUAGUGAAAGCUAUUGAUGUGCUAUUGCGGAGGAACACGAAGAUAUAUGGUGGUGUACUUGGUGAAGCCAUUGUUGUAUGGAUCUAUUUUGACUGGUUUAUCGGAAAAACUAUAAAGAAUCAUUUAAGAGGCUUAGCUUGAAGAGAAGGUGAUGGACAAUAAAAAGAAAAUGAGGAUUUUUGCAUGACUUCUACUAGAAAGAAAAAAAUCAGAAGAUUGUAGAAGUAGGUGGACUUACGUCCUUGAUUAGACAGCUUAAGAACUCACAUGAUGAAACCACACAGAGAGUUGCAGCAAGCACCAUAG